rnacentral:rRNA from 1 species
AUUGAACGCUGGCGGCAUGCUUUACACAUGCAAGUCGAACGGUAACAGGCCGCAAGGUGCUGACGAGUGGCGAACGGGUGCGUAAUGCAUCGGAACGUGCCCAGUCGUGGGGGAUAACUACUCGAAAGAGUAGCUAAUACCGCAUACGAUCUAUGGAUGAAAGCGGGGGACCGUAAGGCCUCGCGCGAUUGGAGCAGCCGAUGUCAGAUUAGGUAGUUGGUGGGGUAAAGGCUCACCAAGCCAACGAUCUGUAGCUGGUCUGAGAGGACGACCAGCCACACUGGGACUGAGACACGGCCCAGACUCCUACGGGAGGCAGCAGUGGGGAAUUUUGGACAAUGGGCGCAAGCCUGAUCCAGCAAUGCCGCGUGCAGGAAGAAGGCCUUCGGGUUGUAAACUGCUUUUGUACGGAACGAAACGGCUCUGGUUAAUACCCGGGGCUAAUGACGGUACCGUAAGAAUAAGCACCGGCUAACUACGUG